GUGAUACCCAUUUAUAUCUGAAUCUAUUUAUAUUUAUUUAUCCAUUUUGGAUCUAUUUGUAUUUGAAAAACAUGAAAAGACAAACUAUAAAAAAAAAAUUUUUUGACAGUUACCUGUAAGGAGAGUGAAGGACUAGGAUGCAGUGAAUAGGAAUAUGAAUAGACUCUGUAAUUCCUGUUGCUUUAGUUUUAACUUACAUUAAACCUAUAUAAAGAGUUCCUAAGUUAAGAAAAAGUUCCUUCAGUA
rnacentral:lncRNA from 1 species